rnacentral:rRNA from 1 species
CGCGUAGGGGGCGAGCGUUGUCCGGAUUUAUUGGGCGUAAAGAGCUCGUAGGCGGUUUCGUAAGUCGGAUGUGAAAACUCCAGGCUCAACUUGGAGACGCCAUUCGAUACUGCGAUGACUUGAGUCCGGUAGGGGAGUGUGGAAUUCCUGGUGUAGCGGUGAAAUGCGCAGAUAUCAGGAGGAACACCGGCGGCGAAGGCGGCACUCUGGGCCGGUACUGACGCUGAGGAGCGAAAGCAUGGGGAGCAAACAGG